rnacentral:rRNA from 1 species
AGUGAACGCUGGCGGCAGGCCUAACACAUGCAAGUCGAACGGCAGCACAGUAAGAGCUUGCUCUUACGGGUGGCGAGUGGCGGACGGGUGAGGUAUACAUCGGAAUCUACUUUUUCGUGGGGGCUAACGUAGGGAAACUUACGCUAAUACCGCAUACGACCUACGGGUGAAAGCAGGGGAUCUUCGGACCUUGCGCGAUUGAAUGAGCCGAUGUCGGACUAGCUAGUUGGCGGGGUAAACGCACACCAAGGCGACGAUCCGUAGCUGGUCUGAGAGGAUGAUCAGCCACACUGGAACUGAGACACGGUCCAUACUCCUACGGGAGGCAGCAGUGGGGAAUAUUGGACAAUGGGCGCAAGCCUGAUCCAGCCAUACCGCGUGGGUGAAGAAGGCCUUCGGGUUGUAAAGCCCUUUUGUUGGGAAAGAAAAGCAGCAGGUUAAUACCCCGCUGUUCUGACGGUACCCAAAGAAUAAGCACCGGCUAACUUCGUG